GUGAACCUGCGGCAGGAUCAUU
rnacentral:rRNA from 1 species